GGACAGUCGCUGGCAGCGAUGCCAGAGGAAAGUCCAUGCUCGCACGGUCUGCGAUGACCGUAGUGUUUGUGCUGGAUGAAACGAUAAAUCCAGGCAGGUGAAAACUUGACGGCUGUGUGAAUGCCUAAGGCUGAGCUACGGUAUUCAUGCUGUAAAAGUGCCACAGAGACGAGCUGUUCUGGAAACAGAGCAGAUGGAACGGGUAAACCCCGCAAGCGAGAAACCCAAAUUUGGUAGGGGAGUCUGUCUAAGCGAACUGAAGCAAAGACGGAACACAGAAAUGUGUAGAUAAAUGGCUGUCGCCCGUAAGGGAACAGAACAUGGCUUACAG
rnacentral:RNase_P_RNA from 1 species